UUUGCUAAUAAUUGGUUGAUUGCUUCCCAGUUUUGCCAAUCUUGCAACUUUUGUCAAUAUAAUUAUGAUUUCAGUUUUUCCUCACCCGUAAUGUCACUCCUAACCAUUUGGUUCACAGUCAUGUAGGCCUCACGUACUGCACAAUAGUUGCAUCAAAAGUGUCAUGUGAUUACAUAUCCUUGAAAGGAAACUCGCCAAGCAACUUUCUCUUUGGAACUGCGCGCAUCCUCUUCUUAUCAGUUUGAAGGAGCUUUUCUGAAUGAUGGUAAAGGUCUCAACAACUGGGGGAUAUCUUCACUCACAAGCCUGGUACUAUAUAUCCUGGAUGGAACUAAUGGAGAUAUUGCUGUUGAUCAGUAACAUCUCUAGCUAUCAGGAAGACUUGGAUCUCAUGAAUAACAUUGGAGUCAACAUGCAGCUACCGUUUUUCUAUAUCAUGGGCAAGAAUUUUACCCAGGAAGAUUUGCCUGUGUUUUCCAAGUUUUCCAAUGGAUUAGACGUCAUUGGUAUAAAUCACUACACCAGUUUUUACGAAAAGGACCGUAUGUUUUCUCCAUGUUCAAACCAGGACCAGGAGCUGCAAGGAUAGAGGGGUAUGCUAUGAGAACUGCUUUUUAAGAUGGAGUCUACAUUGGAGAACCAGUAGGUAAUCUCAUCUUGUAAAUUAUCCGAAUCACCACAACACUUUUCUUCAAAAAUUAGCUGGAUUUUUUAUUGAUUUAGACUACAGUUGAUUGACUAUAUGUGUAUCCUCAAGGAAUGGAGAAGAUGGUAACAUACAUAUAAGAGAGAUACAAUAAUACACCAAUGUUUAUUACAGAUGGUAAGCUAAAAACUUUUGAAUAAAAAU